CUAGAACCCACGGUUUGUUUCUCAGAGUCCAUCGUCUCUCAUGGUUCGUCUCCCCCUACGAUUAAGUUUAUAUCAAACCCAACAAAAUGCUUAAUAGAAAAAAAGAAGCACAGUUUAUAAGUCAAUAAACAGUGAUUCUCAUCAAAUCCGCUGCUUGCCAGAAACACAUCUCAAUCAAGGAAACUUCUCUCAAUUUCAGCAUCCUCACUUUCAACGUGAAGAGCUUGGCUAUGAGGACUUCUUCCAGAGAGAGAGAGAGAGCACGCACAAGCAGGAGGAGCAGCAGGCAGAAGGAGAAG